UGACGACCGGCGUACGGGUGAGUAACGCGUAUGCAACCUACCCUAGUACUGGGGGAUAGCCCGGAGAAAUUCGGAUUAAUACCCCAUAAAGAUAUUUGGAGGCAUCUUUAGAUAUUUAAAGUUUCGACGGUACGGGAUGGGCAUGCGUAACAUUAGCUAGUUGGUAGGGUAACGGCCUACCAAGGCGACGAUGUUUAGGGGUCCUGAGAGGGUGAUCCCCCACACUGGUACUGAGACACGGACCAGACUCCUACGGGAGGCAGCAGUGAGGAAUAUUGGUCAAUGGGCGUAAGCCUGAACCAGCCAUCCCGCGUGAAGGAAGACUGCCCUAUGGGUUGUAAACUUCUUUUCCAGGGGAAUAAAAUUUUGUACGGGUACGAAACUGAAGGUACCCUGGGAAUAAGCAUCGGCUAACUCCGUGCCAGCAGCCGCGG
rnacentral:rRNA from 1 species